rnacentral:misc_RNA from 1 species
GCCCCGUCAUGAUGAGCCUUCCAACCUGGCUGCGCGCUGUCUUACAAUGCUUGGCAAACCUCGCACAAGACAAGAAGGUCAAUAUGGCUGGUAGACUUGGUGUCAUUAGUUUGGCGAGCUUUGCAGCUACAUCGUUACGAAUUUGUCGGCCUAUCCCUGCGGUACGCACAGCACGAAACGCUUUUGGUUCAACCAAGCCUCUGAAUGGUGCGUCGAGUCAAGGAGGUUCAUCAAUUGAGCUGAUGAAGUGCUUCUCAGUACAGUCAGAGCACGCAGUCUUUGCCCCUCCCAUAUCACUGGAGGACCAUGCCGGUACCCGGAAUCGAGCCAAGAUGACAAGUGAUGUUGGGAUGGAUGUGGAAAACAAGCAGCUCAUCGUUUCCUUGAAAGGAGGCCUGAGGCAGGCUUUCCCGUUUGUCUGGCUUCGAGACAAUUGUCAAUGCCCGGUUUGCUUCCAUCCCACAGCCAUGUCUCGGAAAACAUACGCCUACGAGCUCAAUGUUGAUAUCACUGCUAAAUCGGUUGAAAUGUCUCCCGACUCCAAUGGCGUCAUCAUCCACUGGGAAGACGGACACAAGAGCCACUUCACCUUUCAUUGGCUGAGGGCCUACUGCUUUAUCGACUCCAAGCAAGACCAAUAUCUGGAUCCCAAGUUCGACUUUUGGGGCGCUGAUAUCGACCUUCAGAGCUUCAACUUCGAUGAGGUACUUAAGAACGACGGAGCCUUGUACAACUGGCUGACUGAGCUGGUGAGUCGAGGCAUUGCGGUGGUGACGAACGCUCCGUCCAAGGUGGGUCAGCUUCACAGUCUUGGGGGACGAGUGGCCUUCCUGCGGCCCUCCAACUACGGACCAACCUUCCAAGUGAAGAGCAAAGUUGACCCGAAUCAUGUAGCUUACACAAGUGGUGCCUUGUCUUUACACACUGACAUGGCAUAUUACAUUCGACAACCAGGGAUUCAAAUGCUACACUGCAUAGAUCAAGCGGAGGGCACUGGCGGCGAGAAUCUCUUCUCUGACGGCUUCAAGGUUGCCAUGGAUCUGAAGGAAGAUGACCCAGAGGCCUUUCGACUUCUGUCCACCAUUCCGUUCGAAUUUUCUGACGUGGGCACAGAUUACUACGGCAGCUUCCACCAGUACUCUCGGCACCCGACUAUUAGACUGGACGAACGCGGGGAAGUCGUGUCGGUGACUUUGAGUGACCACAGCCGAGACCCAAUGCUGAGGGCUCCUCUCCACCAGGUCCAGCCGCUCUAUCGAGCUUUGAAUAAGUACUGCAACAUGCUUCUCGACCCGCAAAAUGUCUUCAAAUACAAAAUGGAAAAGGGAGAUAUCAUGACUUUCAACAACCGCCGUGCCCUGCACGGCCGAAGCUCUUUCAGAGUGACUCAGGCUGGUGGCCGCCAUCUUGAAGGGGGUUACCUCGAAUGGGAUGAGGUCAAUUCACGUCUACGUGUCCUGGCAGCACAGCUCAACUCAAAGUGAGACAAACGAGAAGCAGGGAGGUGAAAUGGAAAGGUUCAUGUACAUGCUUGUGUUUUACUCUGCCAAAGUGAAGACGAUGGAGAACGUACACGUCCACGUCCAGUCUUCGACUGGCUCGAAACUAAGAGUACUUAGACGCGAAGUACGUGAUUUAAAUGAAAGAGGAUACAAAUGAGUGAAUUUCGGACAGAUAAGUAACAUGUAAAUUAACCACGAUAUUAGUGACUAUAGCUUGAUACAAAGCAUAAGGGAGGUUACAGUUUUACGCUCAGAAAUUGGCGAUGGAUUCACGCCGUAACCAUUUUCUAAGGCGUUGAUAUAAGCAAGGGGCUUUAGUUAUGUUUGCUUCCAGUGCAUUUCUUACAAAAAAGUUAAUAGCGCCCUCCUUUGACCGGUAAUCUGAGAACCAUGCUUUACACUCAUCCGUAGACAGUGGAUUUCUCACAGUGAAUUGGUGCAUCGUUUUCCCACAUUUUCAGGGCACAAAUUUUCCUCUCGCUCCUUGCUAACUGUAUAUAGCGCCUAGUGAAGCAUUGCCUGUAAGUUGAUUCCGGUUUUAUUCCUUAUCAAGAGGUAUUUCAAGUAGUUUAGAGGCCUUUAUGACAAUCGGUUUUCAUGUCAAGUUGUUUACACAUGUAUAUACCCACAUGUUGACAUGUAUAAGGAGGCAACAACAUAUAACACACCGAGCGAUCAACGUGGUCAUGGGGAUGCGUGUGGAUAUUUUCUGCACCGUGACUAACAGGCCUGUUAAAUCGACAUAUUUCGGGCUUUGUGAGCUCAGUAUUUAUGUGCACAUGUACUCGUUCGACUAGUUAUUAGCAUGAAUCUCAGUGUAUUUUGAAACAAGAGACUCAUACAUGUGUAGUGUUUGUGUAGUAAUAGUGUAGUAUACGUAUCCAUAGCUUGUGUUUUCUCGUUAACUACGCAGUUUUACUCCAUGUCAAUGACAUCAUCAUCCAAUGUGACCAAAUAUUAAAACACCGGAGCUACAUGCGAAGUUAUUUCCUGACUCCCAUUUCGUCAGUGAUAGGAGUUUGGCUGGCUGCCAACUUGAGAUUAGAAACAUCUUAAGGAGGGCAGUACAGUUGUCAUUUAGAUAACGUCUGUUACACUUUCUUUGGACCACAUCUAGCAAAACGUGGGCGUCUGGUAGCAAGACUCUUUGGAAUUGAUUAACGAUUGGAAUUCCGCAUCUUUCCUCUGGAAUCUAAAAGGACCACAGCUACCUCCAGGACCUGCAGGAAAUACCGUUGUGAAACCCAUUGGUACACUUUAAUGCCGGCCGUGUCGCUAAUAUUCUCGAUUUCCAACCGGGCACUGCGGCACUGCACGCGCUGGGAUUUUAUUGCUACGAUGUUCUGUGACUGCAGCAUAUUGAGAACGCGUAAGUAAACUUUUCGUAACUUUCUGGGUAGAAAUGGUGUCAGGUAUGAUAAAAAUAAUGAUUUUCGUCCUUAAAAAAGUCAGGAAGGCUCUUAUAAAAACAAAAAGGCACCACUGACCUAAGAGUCGGAAUUUUAUAGACAUUAAUUAAAAAAUAAAUCGCGAAUUUUCCAAUGGAUCUUGGAAACAUGAGUUUUUGUUUGAGGUUGUUCCCUCUAGUACAUGCUUGCAAACCUAUUCCUAUUGCAUAUGCUUAUAAGUCACCAAAAGGCGAACUUGCAAAUCAUGUUUCGUUUAGUAAGUCUACCUGCACGCUUUAAAAAUACCGUGUACAGGAUGAACGUUGGGAGAUACACCAUUCUGAGUCACUGCUGUUAGCAGGGUCAUGUGAUUAGUAUUGAGCGCGAAUUUAUGGUUGAUGACACAGCAAAAGAAAAAUCCAGCGGUGCUAUAUUCAGAUGGCGCUUUUCAAAGUCCCAAGUGCUUUUCAGCAACAGAGAUACAUGACAGAAACGACUCUAAUAGUUUGGAGAUGAAAACCAUACAUCUAGGUUCCUCUUUAUCCAUGUACUUUUGUAAUCUGACAGUGACAAACAGACCCUUUCAGAUUCGUUUGAUCAGUUUGUCAUAGCUUUU